GGCUUUGAGUGUAAACUCCACCCGUGUGACCUUACCUCCUGUCGUUGCUUCGGCGGGCUCGCCCGCCGGAGGUCUUGAAACUACUGCAUCUUGUAUACCUUCUGAGAAAAACAAGCAAAAUAAUCAAAACUUUCAACAACGGAUCUCUUGGUUCUGGCAUCGAUGAAGAACGCAGCGAAAUGCGAUAAGUAAUGUGAAUUGCAGAAUUCAGUGAAUCAUCGAAUCUUUGAACGCACAUUGCGCCCGCCGGUAUUCCGGCGGGCAUGCCUGUCCGAGCGUCAUUUCAACCCUCAGGCCCCCCGGGGCCUGGUGUUGGGGCGCCCGGGUCCUCAGCGGCCCGGGGCCCCCAAGUCCAUCGGCGGUCUCGUCUGGACCCUGAGCGCAGUAACUCGCGGUAAAACGCAGCCUCGCUCGGCCCGUCCCGGCGCGCAUCCAGCCGCUAAACCCCCAAAUUCUAAAGGUUGACCUCGGAUCAGGUAGGAAUACCCGCUGAACUUAAGCAUAUCAAUAAACCGGAGGAA
rnacentral:rRNA from 1 species